rnacentral:rRNA from 1 species
GGUGUCGUAGCCAACGCGUUAAGUGUUCCGCCUGGGGAGUACGCACGCAAGUGUGAAACUCAAAGGAAUUGACGGGGGCCCGCACAAGCGGUGGAGUAUGUGGUUUAAUUCGAUGCAACGCGAAGAACCUUACCAGGGUUUGACAUCCUGCGAAUCUCUUGGAAACGAGAGAGUGCCUUCGGGAACGCAGUGACAGGUGGUGCAUGGCUGUCGUCAGCUCGUGUCGUGAGAUGUUGGGUUAAGUCCCGCAACGAGCGCAACCCACGUCUUUAGUUGCCAGCAUUUAGUUGGGCACUCUAGAGAGACCGCCGGUGAUAAACCGGAGGAAGGUGUGGAUGACGUCAAGUCAUCAUGCCCCUUACAUCCUAGGCUACACACGUACUACAAUGCUACGGACAAAGGGCAGCAAGUUCGCGAGGACAAGCAAAUCCCAUAAACCGUGGCUCAGUUCAGAUCGUAGGCUGCAACUCGCCUACGUGAAGGAGGAAUCGCUAGUAAUCGCAGGUCAGCAUACUGCGGUGAAUACGUUCCCGGGCCUUGUACACACCGCCCGUCACACCAUGGAAGUUGGCCACGCCCGAAGCCGUUACUCCAACCCUUGUGGAGGAGGACGUCGAAGGUGGGGCUGAUGACUGGGGUGAAGUCGUAACAAGGUAGCC